CGCCUCGGUUUGUUCCACAAUAUUUACCACCACAACACGAAUCCUAAACGCGAGCUCUAUUCAGCACCCUUAAGCCCGGGAUACAUGGAGCUGAAAACCGGCGUCCAGGCGACGAAAUACGCCCCGGCGGCAAACGCUCGCCCCUCGGCGUCCAACGAUUUGACUCCCGCCGGCUACCCGGUCCGAUUGGAAAACCGCCGUCGGAAGUGGUGGGAGCGCCUCGCGCGCUCACCAGGCGUCACGAUGAUCGAUCUCCCUCCGACUUCCAGAAACGAAUGGUACAACCCAAUAAAUUGAUGCAAUUACAAGAGCUACAAACUGAAACCAAUACCAGAGAACUCGGUGUGCUGGUCGAAGAAAGAAGCAAGCUAUACACCUGCCGAGAUCAUGGAGGACACUGCAAGAAAAACCCAACAUGCGGCGCAAGACCGCAUCUGAACGGUACAUGCCCUACCAACAGAACUUGCUGCAAAUGGGAUGACUGACUCCGCGUAGCCACUUCCUACUCCUCUUUCCCACAAUAUCCAGUGCAUAAUUUGGAGGUUACAAAGGACUUUUUAUGUACUGCGUGCCUAUUAU